CGAAUUUUUUAAUCGUCCGACGAGUUCUGCCGAGUGGAGCGGAGACAUGUUUGGUGGUUGGGACUGCCAGGAAGGACGAGAAGGUGGAACCUGGCUAGCCUGUAAUAAGCAGGGUCAGGUUGCUCUACUGACCAAUAUUUAUACCGGAGGAAUAAUAAACCAGAAAGCUAAAGGGAGAGGGAAUUUAGUUGUAGAUUUUCUUAAAGGAAAUUUUUCCCCAGAAGAAUAUUUGACGAAUAUCAAGGAAGAAUUAUCUGUUUACAACCCUUUCAAUUUAAUCCUAUUUGAACCUGGGGAAGAUGGCUACACUGUUUGGAGACUGGGACGUGGUUUAGCGGAUCACUCAGAUGAUUUCGGUCCAGUUCAUGCAAAGUUUGGGACGUUCGGAGUAUCCAACCAUCCUCAGCAUAGACAAUAUAUUAAAGCUGAGAAGGGAGAAACAAAACUUAGAGAACUAGUUAGUUCAAUAAGAAGUGAAGAUGACCUGUUUAUUCAACUAGAAUGUUUACUGAAGAAUACAGAAGAAAACUGGCCUGAUCCGCAGAUUAUUGAGCAGUCUGUGGUCCGAGGAAACCCUGGUCCUUUUCAACAUUUGGGACCUCAACUUAGCAGUAUAUUCGUGGAUAUUAAACAAAAUGGAUACGGAACCCGAACACACAGUAUGAUAUUAGUGGACAAUCAGUGGAAUCUACAUUACAAGGAGAUCACAAAAGAAGGAGACUCUUGGAGACAAACAGAAGAAAAAUUUAAUGUCAAACAGACUUGAUUCAUCAAAUCAAUUAAAAAUAUUGUAAAUACCAUUUUAAAAGAUUUUAAUCUGUAAACAAAACAACAAUGUAAAAUGUAAGACUUGAUUUUUGGUUAUAUAUCUGAGUUCACAGCAUAAAAUUGAAACCGUUGAUAUUCAUUACUAAAAUAGCUUAGACAUAAUUGUGUCAACCAUUAACUAUGAUACAUGUAUGUAAAGUCGUCUUUAACUUAGAACCCCUCUCGGAGACACUAAAGUCCAAACCAAAUAAUUUUAGGCUCCAGUCCUUUGUUCCCCAUCGGAGUGCGCGCGGUAGUCGUAUUUUCUUCAAACACUAAAGCUUGUUUAUUCGUAUACUGUAGAGGGAACAAACCAUAAACCACGCCAUAACAUUUAUUAUGCGUCUAAAAUGCAAAAUCGAUAAAUAUUUGGUGAGAAAAUAUUGAAGAGGGUUACAUACAAAAAAAAGACUGAUACUUUCUCUUAUCUAUGUGACCCUUGAUAGACUGAUUUUUUAUCAUAAUUUUGAAUAAAUAACGUGUAAUGUUUAAUAAAAAAAUAUUUAAUAUUUUAAAA
rnacentral:misc_RNA from 1 species